CAGAAGGCCAAAGCUUCUGGGAAGGAUGAUCUAUUUUAUGAUGCCUCAAAGUUUCAGAAUGACUGUAGCCCCCCUCACCUCCUCUGGGCUGAACACCAUCAUCUAGCCUCUGACACUCGGGUCUGGAGACAGAGGGGGUUGAGGGGGAGGCAAUUGCAGCUGACAGGAACCUUGCUUUUCAAGAACCUGGACCCCAGGACAACUCUUUAGGCUCCCCAAGUCCCUCAAGCACCUCUCAAUUCGGAGCAGCCACAUUUCCUGUGCUAGACAGCUAGAGCUGUGUACCUGACCUGUGAAGAGAGAAGAGAAUCAAGGCUUUCAGGGGAGAAGACUUCCCCCUGGUGGACAAAAGUGGAAAGUACAUGGGAGACUGAAGCAACUGGCUGAGCCCCGACCGGACCGGGAAGCUGCCAACAUUUCAUGCAUCCGUUCCCUAGUGACAAACACCUGGGUGCUCUCCAGUCUUUGCCGUCAAAAGCAACGCUGCAGCGAACAUCUUCCCACCUGUCUCCUUACGGCCUGCGCAGAGCCUCACUGGGUGAGGAAGCCAAGAGUGGAACUGCUGAAUCAGAGGGUCUCUCUUUGACAUCACCUCCUCUGGGAAGCCUUCCUUGCCUCUCCAUGGCUGGUGUGCCCAGAGCCUGUCCCUCACAUCACACUUAUCACACUGCAUCCUAACUACCCAUUUCCACAUCCGUGAACCUGUGAGCAUCUUGAGGACGCUUAUUGAGAUCUGACCCUGUACUACAGGCAUCACUUCCUGCAUUACAUUUACUGACAUCAUCCAGGUCGCCGGAGCCAGCAGCUGCUGAGCACUCACCGGACAUUGUUCUACCUGACUCAUCUGCUUUAUCCUAUCCUCAAAACAAGUCAGUGAGGUUGAU
rnacentral:lncRNA from 1 species